rnacentral:lncRNA from 1 species
UUUUUUUUUUUUUUUUUGACAUCUGGCUUCUGAAUCUCAUUUCGUAUGGGCCACCUUUGUGACAGAGUUCAGUCAAUCACUAAACAACCAAUUAAAAUCUGUUGCACAAACUUGCACAAAGAUUUUGCCCACCCUUCCUUCUUUCCACCUCAGAUCCUGAACUGGAGUCUUAGUGCUACAGAAUCAUUCUGGGUUGGAACAUGAGUAGUCAUGUCCUACAGUUAGGGAGAGGAGUUGAGCUCAGAAAUUCAAGUCUUCUGACUUCCGAAGCUCAGUGUUUCUGAAAUAUUCAUUGCCAUCUGCCUUCAGAACUUCUAGGAAACAAGAAAAAGGAAAGGGAAGAAAAAUGGGACCCAUGCUCUGCUGUCAAGGGUCUCAGAACAGUUACUCAAUGUCUUUGGUUUCAGUCUUUUGUAAUCCGCUAUUAGGAGCCUGAGUUAAAUGGUCCCUAAGGUCCCUUGCAGCCCAUAUGAGGCCUACCCUAAUCUUCCUGGGUAUCAAGCCCUGAUACCUAAUUUGUGCUUCUUCUAUCUACUAUUUCUUUAGAAUCUUGUGAUUUGCCAGGCCCAGUAGCUUAGCUAAUGAGCCACCAUCUAUCACAUUGCAUGGGGAGAUGAGUAUAAUUGUCUAGUAUAUUUACAGACACUCACAUCAAACCUCUUUUUAUCCCUGAAGAGUCUAAGAUACCCCAAAAUAUAGUGACUUUUCAUCAGGAAGAGUAAAGAAAUUUUAGUAGAGCAAAACACUCACUAAGAAUCUAUACAGUAGUCCUCCUUAUCCAUGGUUUUAUUUAUAGUUACCCAGUCAGCCAUGGUCUGGAGGCAGAAGAUGCUCCUUCUGAUAUGCCACCAGGAAGUCAGUAGUGGCCUAACGCUAUGUCACAACACCUACGUCAUUCACCUCACCUCAUCUCAUCACGCAGCCAUUUUAUCAUCUCACAUUAUCACAGGAGGAAGGGUGAGUAUAAUAAGAUAUUUUGACAAAGAGAGACCACAUUCACAUAACUUUUAUUAUAGUAUAUUGUUAUAAUUGUCCCAUUUUAUUGUUGUUAAUCUCUUACUGUGUCUAAUUUAUAAAUUAAACUUUUUUAAAAAAAUAAAUUAAACUUUAUCAUAGGUAUGUCUGUAUAGGAAAAAAACAGGGUAUAUAUAGGGUUCACUACUAUUCAUGGUUUCAGGCAUCCCCCGGGGUUCUUGGAACGUAUCCCCUGGGGUUCUUGAAAUGUAUACCCUGUGGGUAAGAGUAGCUACUGUAUUAACAUUUUCUGGCAUUUGCUGAGCACCAACAAUGGGCAAGAUUGGUAGACACUGUAUAUACGUCAUCCAUUUCUCACUAAGACUCUGGAGAUAAUUAUUUCCUCCAUUUUAGGGAUGGGAAGACUGAGGCUUAGAGAAGCUAGGUUGAUUUGCCCAAGGUGAAAACAUGGGUGGGUGGGAUAGGACAUAGUCCAUAUGGUCCCAAAUCUAAUGUUAUUUAUACUGCACUAUGUAUCAGACAGAGUGCUGGCUUCCUUCUUCAUUUCCAGAGCCCUUUGUUUAUACCAAUUAUUCAAGGUCUGACCACACUCAUCCCAUAUUAAAUCCAUUUUUUCCAGAUCUGCCUCACUCAUUGGUCCAUCAAUCAAACAACUGACCUUUACCAGGACACUCACUACAUCUUACUCAUCUCUCUAUUCCCUUGCCCAGACCUAGACAUAGCUCCCAACAGGUAUACAAUAUAUGCUCGCCAACUAGCAUGCAUCAAUAUUCUGAAAACAUCCUCUGCAAUGAAUACCAUGCUGAUGAAUUUUGAUGAAAGGAGCCUUUUUUAAACAUUAUUUUAAGAUAGAAAAAUAAGCAUUUGUCAUACUAUCCAUUAUAAACAUCCUCAGCUAAGCCUCUUUUUUUUUUCUGCCUCAAUUUUAAAAGUUAUGUUUGAUCCAUUGGAAUGGCCUAUAUAGUUUGAAGCUUUUACCAUUGCUAGACCUGUGAUCAGAUUGCUCCCUGGGCAUACACUCAAACACAGGAAGGAGAAAUGUGAUUAGUACCCAGAUUCUCCUGCCAUCCACCCCCUGUCAGUGUCUGGAUCCAUCGUGCUAAUGAGCAUAAUCAUGACUGAUUCAGUCCCUGAGUUUCAUUGUAUAGACUCUAGCCUCCUGCUGAAUCGAAUCUUGAUUUCCCCAGAUUCCUGGGGAGUUCUGAAAAACUGAGAAAAACAAAGAACUCAACAUCAAAGUGAAUCCUUGGCUAUCACAUAUAUUUCCUUGCCCAGAGACCCGUCACUUUGUCAUUGGGACACCUUUCCUUGGUUAAUAUUAGAAUAGAAUUAUGGGGCUCAAACAAGGCAUCUUAUUGAUUCACCGUUAGCCAAGAGGGCCGUCUCUGGAGUGAUGUUCAGGGCUGCUUCUUGGACUUAAAACUUGAAUAGUUCUCUGCCAAUGUUUUUUCCUCUGACAUAAGGGGAGAGUUGGAUUAGAAGAUGCCUGUAGACUCACGUACCAACACCUACACUCUGGCUGGCACAUUAUCAAAUUUACAUUGCUUCCCUAGUGGAAAUUUUUGUAGUUAGGGUAUUUUCUGUUUGAGGCAUUCAGUAAAUCCCAGAUUCAGAGCUGAAGAGAGCUCCAAAAUUCCUAUAAUUAAGCUCUAUAGUAUUACAGGCAGUAGAACUCCCAAAGCAUCACCCGUUCUAGCAGUCAGCCCAGAUUCCAGAACAUAACCUAAAUCCUUCCUCUUGUCCUCAUUUUCAGCACUCCCAUCCUGGUCCAAGCCACUGUCAUCCUUCACCUGGACCACUGCCAUUGCCUCCUAAGUGGUAUUUCAGCAUUGCCCCCGAUGUACCAGCCAGAAUGUUCUUUGAAAGAGAUAAACUAGGUUGUAAUCAUUCUUUUGUUUAAGCCUUCUAGUGAAUUCCCACUACAUUUAGUUUUUUAUUUUUAAGUAUUUUUUAGAAACUGUUUAUUUUCCAUCAACCUUAUUUCCAUUCUGUUCGCUUUUGUGGAAGAGUAGUUUAGGACCACUCAGGGAUUGUUCCUACCCACUCAGUGACCUGAGUGGUGGGAGCUGCAGACCUGAGUGUUUCACUCUUCAGUAUGGAACUAAUGACUAAACACAGGGGGCACCUGUACACCAUUAGACCAGCAUAUGACUUCAGGUUGAGUAGCAGCAAACUCAAGAGCUGGAGCAGUCCAUUCAUCCCGAAAUCCUUCCUGGGUCACAGUCUUUGGAGCAGUGGCCUGCCCUUCCUUUUCAGGAUCUCUGUAGAAGUGGAAAUCAGGCACGACCUCGCACAGGUGGACACAGGAAAUGGUGCCACGCACACACAGAACCUCCUGGGCCAGCAUCCACCACAUCAGAUCCCCGAGUGAGCUCCCUUCUUGCAAGGAAUGGUGAUGUCCACAUAGUUCAGAGGAGAGUCUGUGUUACACAGAAUGACGGUAGGCAGGUUAACAUAGGAUGCCUCUGUGAGAGGGUGGUGGUCAGCCCUGGGAUCACUAACUAGCAGGAGUCUCGGCUCCCAGGAAGCUUCCUGGAUCUGGCUAGCAGAGGUUCUAAGAAUGAAGCGGCCAGCAAUAGGAGUGCUGCAAACUUCAGCCCAGCCCACUGGCCAGUAUUCCUGGAUGAUAUGACACUGACAUCAGCUGGGUUUUCAGUGAACAAUAGCAUGAGCUGCCAACAGAAGCUUCCCCUGGGUCCCCUUCACAUUCAUGAUGUAGAUGCCUUCACUCUUCUUCUGUAGCUGUACUGUUCCAUUUGGAAGUUAAGGUGGUGCCACCCAAGUGGGUUCCUACUGUCCUAAGGAAUCUGAGGACAACCUCCUUUAUUUGCAGGACCUCAAGGGCUCCAGAGAUUGUGAAAGUUCCCCUUUAAGCUACAGUGGGAAUGCAGAACAACAUAUGGACCCCUCCCUG